rnacentral:rRNA from 1 species
GUCUGUGGCCAUCCACCCUGAACAUACAAGAACUAAUCUGGUCUCAGAAGGUAAGUAGGGUCAGGCCUGGCUAAUACUUGGAUGAGAAAGAAUGCCCCUCUGGUUUGCAUCCCAAGAAAAGUCUAUGUGCUCUGGUGC